rnacentral:rRNA from 1 species
GAUGAACGCUGGCGGCGUGCCUAACACAUGCAAGUCGAGCGAGAAGUUUGAAAAAUGAGUUUUCGAACAAGUGAUUCAAACGGAAAGCGGCGGACGGGUGAGUAACGCGUAGGCAACCUGCCCCGUGCAGAGGGACAGCCUCGGGAAACCGGGAUUAAGACCUCAUGAUAUCGGGUUAUCACAUGGUAAUCCGGUCAAAGAUUUAUCGGCAUGGGAUGGGCCUGCGUCUGAUUAGCUGGUUGGUGGGGUAACGGCCUACCAAGGCGACGAUCAGUAGCAGAACUGAGAGGUUCAUCUGCCACAUUGGAACUGAGACACGGUCCAAACUCCUACGGGAGGCAGCAGUGAGGAAUAUUGCACAAUGGGCGAAAGCCUGAUGCAGCAACGCCGCGUGAGCGAAGAAGGCCUUUGGGUCGUAAAGCUCUGUUCCUGGGGUAAGAAACGAAAUAGACGGUACCCUUGGAGGAAGCCCCGGCGUAACUACGUGCCAGCAGCCGCGGUAAAACGUAC